rnacentral:lncRNA from 1 species
CCACUAAAGCAAAAAGUCUCUGAAGUACAAAGAAUCAUUGGCUAAAUGCAUGUGGAAAAACUGGGACACUCUUACACUGCUGGUGAAUCUGUGAACUGAUAAAACCAUUCUGGAGAGCACUUUGGAAUCAUGCCCAAUGGUCCAUGAAACUAUAAUAUCCUUCAAUCUUUCAACCCAGGAAUACCAUUACCAGAUUAUCCCACCAUUAGAAUGUAAGGUCCUUGAGGGAAGGAACUUUUAA